UCGACAUUGCAGGCCGGUGGCUGAAAGAAAUAGCCAGAGCGAGGGAGACGACAGGAAGACUCGGGAGGGAAAGACUGAGGAGAGGAAGGGAUAAUGAGAGAAGAAGAAGAAACCCAUUCCAGCUGUGUUUCGAUAACAGAGCCGUGAGAACUUCUUCACAUUGAGGAAUUUUCCACGGCACGCCAAGGGAACAAACUUCUGACAUUCUCCUGUCGGCAUUUUUUUUUUUUCCACAAACAAAACAUCUACUUGUACAUGUUGACGGGACAUAAAUAGCACCACAGUUCAUUGAACGAGAAGUUGAAUUUACUGUUUUAGUUUGGUGCAUCAGAAGCCUCUCCUCAGCUUGUCAUUUUGAAGACAAACAUGAGCAACUUGACUCUGCUGGAGAGCUUGUUCUUCCCUCCUCUCUGCGAUGGCUGGACCAACAACACAGAGGGAGCCAUCUACCAUUUGGGCAACACCAUGCUGGUCCUGGGCUACAUGGGGGGCAGCGGGGCCUACGGGUGCCUCUUCAUCUUCGGCUUCCUGACUCCAGCCUUCGGGUGCCUGACCCUGUGGGGCUGGAUGACGAUGUGCGGCCUGGAUGUUUUCACCUGGAACCUCCUCCUGCUGCUGGCUUGCCUGGGUCAGAUCUGCCACCUGCUGUACCGGCUGCACCAGGAGGGGAUACGCAGCGAGGAGAUGACCUCCCUCUACCAGGCGGUGUACCUGCCGCUGGGCGUGCCCGUCCAGGUGUUCCAGGAGAUCGCAGGCGUCUUUGAGAGCAAGGUGGUGGAUCUGAAAGCAGGAGAGACGUACGCUGUGGAGGGAAAGACGCCCAUCGACCAGCUCUCUUUUCUGCUGUCUGGGAGGAUCAAUGUAUCUUUGGAGGGUCAGUUCCUGCACUACAUCCACCGCCACCAGUUCCUCGACUCUCCAGAGUGGGAGUCUCUCAGACCAAACGAGGAGGGAAAGUUUCAGGUGACGAUGACAGCAGAAGAAGACUCUCGCUACAUAUCGUGGCGUCGCCGUCGCCUCUACCUCUUGAUGUCGAAGCAUCGCUAUAUCUCCCGCGUGUUCUCCGUCAUGCUGGGCCACGACAUCGCCGAGAAGCUCUACAACCUCAACGACAAGCUAUACAUCAAGUGCGGCGUGCUGCUGGACAUCCGCCUGCCCAGCCUCUACCACGUGUUGGCCCCUUCCUCUCAGAGCAGCGAGGGCAGCGAGGUCAAAGAGCAUCUUCAUCAUCAGGGAGAAGACCCAGCACCGACCUAUCAGACCUCAGAGACCUCAGAUCCAGACGAGUUUCAGCCCAGCCUGCAGGGACCAAGAACCCCCCACCUGGAAGACCCCCAGAACCCCCUGAACGACCGCCAUCACAUCCCCUGGGCGUCAGACCCCGAGCUGCCCACCGGUGAGGACUCCACCAGCCUGGUCCUGGAGGAUUUUGCCGAUGUGGCAGGCUCCUUAACGGAUUAUGGCAGUGAGAGGGAUUAUUUGAGGUAGAGGGGCAUGGAGGGGGCUGCGGCUAACACACUGGGUCACCACUUAAGCUACAUGCGGGGAUGGUAACGGGAAACUUCCACCUCGAUUCCUGAGGGGCAGAGCGCCGCUGGCUCCCACCGAGACUCCCAAACUGUGAGAGCAGUUUCUCCUGGAAACACUUUAUCAUCAUCAGCAGUGAGUCUCCUCCUCCCUCACCUCAGUUCACAUCAUCAGGCCUGAGCACAGAGAAGACCUUCCUUCUCUCUAUUUCAUUUACAGCCUGAGUGAUAAGGAUAAUAUUGAUAUCUUUUACCAAUCAAUACUUGUGGAAAGCUGAUAUUCAUCACCAUAAUAACUUAAAUGUAUGUUAUGUCCACAAUUUGUAAGUUCUUUGUGUCAUCUGGUCAUGAUUUAAAGCCUCUGAAGAAGCAUUAAUGCCACCAAAUCUGCCUUAAAAUCUUAGAAGCAGGGGGACCCACCACAUGUAUUCAAUUAGAAAAUAUAGAUAUUUCAGCAUUUCAAUGAGCAAAGAUGUUAUUAUAGAUUUUUGUAAACACCAAGUGAACCAAUACACUUGUCACAGUUCUCAACAAAAAAAAGAAGAGACAUGCUGACAUUUAAUACAUCUUAAUGACACUUUCAUAUAUGUACCUGAGGACAGAGGGAUGGCUUUCACGUUACCAGCAUAUGAAAUGUAUUCUGUGAUAAUUCAACAGAUGUAUUAAGUGUUCAUCUUACCAACAAUAAAGGUAAGACAUUGACUUCAUGUGAUUACAUUUGACUGUUCAUGUUUUUUUAUUUCUUCCCACAACUUAUAUUCAGUGUUACAGAGAAUACUAUAACUUUGUUACGUCACAUUUUCUGGAUCUGACCCGUUACAACAGUUUAGAAAUAGUCAGCAUGCAUUUCUCAACUCUUUGUCCUUUUAAAUUGUCUGGAAAAUGUUUUGCAUACUUCACAGGAACUUUUCAGACACGAAACGUCUUCGCAGUUUAGAUUUUUUUCCACUUUUAGUUUAUUUAUCUGAUGCCAAAUUCAUCUAGAGGAAAACCCUCUUAUAUUACAAUGCUUGUAGACCAUGUUUUGUGUUUUCUGUAACUGAGUAUUUAAUACACACAUGUAAACUGUGAAUCAUA